GCUUAUCACCAUUCCAGAUUGAAUAUACCCGAUCUCGUCUGAUCUCGGAAGUCAAGCAAUCUUGGGCUUGGUUAGUACUUGGGUGGGUGACCGCUUGGGAAUACCAAGUGUGAUAAGCA
rnacentral:rRNA from 1 species